UAGGCACGCCCCAUUUCAUGUUUGCAGCUGAGACAUGAGCUCUCAGCUUCCUGCUGCAGCUGCUGCUGCCGCUGUGCCUGCCGGCUGCCUUGCCUCCCGCCAUAACGGACUCUCAUCCCUCGGGAACCAUAAGCCCAAAUAAACGCCUACUUCUAAGGAAAUCUCUCUGUGGCAAGAAACAGGAAGCGUGGGACUGAAGUUAGCCGCAGAGUCAGGGCCACUUUCCUCUACCCAGUGAGCCCCGGAAUGUCUGUGCUGAUCCUGGGCCAGGCUACCUCCACAGAGCCACCUGCUGGGCGCGACAUCAAGCUCCAGCUGCCUGGCCAGGGCCUGCAGCAGCCAUUGCUCCUGCCGGGUCCCCAAACCCAAGGCUGUGGCUCACACACGGCUGACCCCGGGCAUGGAUGCUUCUGGCUUCAUCUGGGCCUGAGAGAAGUUUUAUCCUCUGAAGAAGUAGAAAAAGACCCCAGAAAACCCAAGACAUGUGGAAAAUGACUCAUCCAUGCAGGGGCAACGGCUAAAAAGAAUUCACAGUAGCCACCCUGGCUACCAGAACAUGGAAAACAUGAGUGGGAUUUUUUUUAUUUGUAUGGGACAGUGUGUUUUAUCUUCUGACUAGCAUGCAUCCAUAGUAUAAAACGAUGGGCUUCGCUACAGCAUUUCUAGUUGUUUCGACAGGAAAAAAGCUCAGGCUCACCCCGUCACUGUCUCUGUCCCCUCCCCUCCUUCCUCUUGUCAAACCGUCAAAUAAUCCCUCUUCUGUUUUCAACGCACGCACACACACACACACACACACACACACACACACACACACUCACACACACACUUUUCAAAACCUAGGUUCCCCAUCUGAGAGGACUUACUCGUCUUUCUGAGUCUGGCCUAGUUCAUCAUGAGAAUGUCUCUAGUUUCAUCUAUUUUCCUGCAAAUGGCAUAAUCUCUCUCUUUCUGGCUGAAUAAAAUUCCAGUAUCCACA